rnacentral:lncRNA from 1 species
AUUGUAAAAAACCUUUAUUAAUUCAUAUAAUAAGCAAAAUACAAUUACAUGAUAAAGAGAUAUAUAACAAAGAAAUGAAUUACAAGCAUAACUCUGUUCACAUUUACAUUUCAAGCUCCUUUGGAGACUGGACUUGUCUAUGAGCAGUAAGAAAAAAGAACGUGAAAGUUGCAGAAUAAGAAAUGCCCAUAAAGGUUUCCAUAGGUGCUCUAAAGCUCUAAUUCCUGAGUUCCAUUCUCACAGCCCUUGAACAAGUCAUGAAACGCUUUGACAACAAAUAUUCUUGAUGGCACUUUCGAUAUAUCAAAAAAUGCGACAACAAGAGUUCCAUUCUCAUUGCAUACGGAUCUUGAUUCAAAUAACAGAGCUUAAAAUGUUCGAUAGUAUUCCAGCCUUCACAGUAAAAAGCACAAAAGUUAAUAAAAUGAUAUAAUAUAAGAAUAAAAGAUAAUGAUCAGAAUUUGCAUACCCCAAACCUAAGGUUCUAGAUGAUGAUCGAGUAGUGCUGUCCAAACAAUAUGAGAUGCAAGGAUUCCUUGCGCGGCAAUAGUAGAGCAGGAGGGGGGAAUAGAGCUGGGAUAGAGCGCAAGCAAACGUCAAGAAUCAAAGUUUUGUGACCAACAACACUGAUAAUGAAGAGCAAACCAUGAGUAACAGAUCAAAUCCUGACAACAACAGACGAAAUACAAUUAGUCUUGUAUAUUGAGCUAAAAGGUACAGACCUCAAACCUCAGGACAGCAUAUUAUAUUCCUUGAAUCGCAGGGACGCUGGCACCAAACUACAAAAGAGUAUCGAUAAGCUAAAGGUCAAUAUAUUAUUGUUUUAAGAAUUUGACUCUGCUGAGGACGUAGAAAAGAAUUCUUAAAACAAUAAUACAUUAUUCCUCAAAAAAACAAUAAUACAUUGAUAAGCUAAAAGAGUAUACUAUGAAAAAAAAAUGCAAUAGCAAGAAGGAAAAAAAAGAGUAGAGAAGAAGCAUUUGGGUAUAUCGAUAAGCUAAAAGAGAAUGAGAUGAGAGGAUAAUAGAGGAAUGUGUGGUAGAGAAAAGACCACCUUAUCUCGAUGGCCUGUCAAUCAAAUAUUUUUUAUCCUUGUGCAGAAAAUAAAGAUGCUGAUAAUAUUGUGACUAUACAUGCCAGUUGAUUAAAAAAUGGGAAGUACUGUGCAAGGCAUAUUAAUAAAUAGUAAGACAGAUGACGUUGUAUUGAAAAUCUGAAUGAUCCAACCGUACUACUGCAUUUCCAGAUCCAAUCCUUGGGUAAGGAGAGCUCAAAUAGCAUAUACUUGCAAAGAUAUGGCCGUUUUUACAACCUAAUUUUACCUUUUCUCCAAGCUGCCAGAGAAAUUUUCAAUUAUAUAGAACAAAUUUCACCUGGGAAUAAAUUUGAUUCAACACAAACAGAACAUAGGCUAACUCUUGAAUGGACUUAACGGCCCAACCUAAAUGAAAUUGAGGGGCAAUUGGCUUUUGCUUCAAAACAAAACAUAGGACCUGCUAAAGAUAGGACAAAGAUAAAAUGAGUCCUCUUAUAAGCAACAAGAAAACAUAUAGUUAGUGUUUUGGCUUCCCUUGCAAAGUAAAACAACGCUAUGUAAAGUAGCAUUAGUAGAAACGUCCAUUAAUACUAAUUUUGGCUCUUGCGAAGAAACAAAACAGUUGUUUCAUGUGAAAUUUUAGAAGAUCAUGGCUGGAUUUUUCGAAUAACCGAACGAGAUAAACUAGUUUGGCUCUACUUUGAUCUUGUUCCGUAAGCACAAGCAUCUUACUAGUAAUCUACACAGGGUUCCACCACCGCACCCCGCACGCCCUUGCUCCUGCUUCUUCUUCCUCCCCCGAUCCUCUUCCCCAUCGACGCGCACCGCGUCCUCUCGCCCACCAUCGCCUCCUUCUGCUUCGCAAGAAAACGAAUGCCCUAGGGAUUGACACCCCCGCACCUCCUGGCCCCUACUUCUUCUUCCUAACCCCGCUCAUCUUCCCCACCGACGACCACCGCGUCCUCUCGCCCAGCACAGCCGCUUCCGCGCCGCUCCGUAUCCACUCUCUCCACCACCACAACCUCGCCGAUCUUCCGCCGCGGGCCACGGCGCCGUCGAGUCGAACCGAACGCUCUAUCGCAACAUUUCCCCAGACAGAACGGAGAGAACGGGAGAGCAAGUACCUGGCAGAGCAGGCGGCGCUCGACGCGGCGAGGGUGAGGGUCCGUAUCGGGGCCGGUCGCGGGUCGUCUCGGCUGCUGAGGAAGGCGGGGGCGGCCGGUGACGAGUUCCGACGGCCAGGGACGCAGAGGCUGCGCNNN